GCUAAGUCAAAAUGGUACCCAGGAAGCAUGACUGUGAUGAAGAUACCCAUGUGUCCCUUUACUGUCCAGAUAGCACCUUGAACUAAAGGAAAGAUGGCAAUCAAAAUUAGAUGAUUUCAGAGGUCUCAAGGCUGUCUCUGCCAUGAAACGUCAUGAGACAGACCAUUCAGGCAGCAGAACACUGGCACAAGCAAAUGGAC